GCGGAGCGAGGCGGCCGGCGCCCGCGCAGCCCUGCCCGACGCGCCCAGGUGCCGCCGCCCCGAGGCGAUGGAGCAGGAGAAGUAUCUGCCGGAGCUGAUGGCAGAGAAGGACAGCCUGGAUCCCUCCUUUGUUCACGCCAUGCGCCUCCUGGCCGACGAAAUUGAAAAAUUUCAGGGUUCUGAAGGCAAAAAGGAAGAUGAAGAAAAGAAAUAUCUUGAUGUUAUCAGCAACAAAAACAUAAAGCUGUCAGAAAGAGUUCUGAUCCCUGUCAAACAAUAUCCAAAGUUCAAUUUUGUUGGAAAAUUGCUUGGACCAAGAGGAAACUCCUUGAAGAGGUUACAAGAAGAAACAGGUGCAAAAAUGUCCAUUCUGGGGAAAGGAUCCAUGAGGGAUAAAGCUAAGGAGGAAGAACUAAGGAAAAGUGGAGAAGCCAAAUAUGCGCACUUGAGUGAUGAGCUUCACGUAUUAAUUGAAGUCUUUGCUCCACCUGGGGAAGCAUAUUCUCGUAUGAGUCACGCCUUGGAAGAAAUAAAAAAAUUCCUCGUUCCUGAUUAUAAUGAUGAAAUUCGCCAGGAGCAGCUGAGAGAACUGUCGUAUUUGAAUGGUUCUGAGGAUUCAGCACGUGGACGGGGCAUUCGAGGAAGAGGGAUCCGUGUACCGCCUACAGCUCCUUCAAGGGGACGUGGGGGUGCGAUUCCUCCCCCCCUGCCCGGACGAGGUGCCCAAGCACCCAGAGGAGCGCCGGUGACCCGCGGAGCCCUCCCUGUCCCACCAGUGGCGAGGGGCGUGCCCACCCCCCGAACAAGGGGUGCCCCGGCUGUCCCGGGCUACAGACCACCCCCUCCUCCUGCACAUGAGGCCUAUGAAGAAUAUGGAUACGAUGAUGGAUAUGGGGGUGAAUAUGAUGAUCCAAGUUAUGAGGCAUAUGAUAACAGUUAUGCCACCCAAACACAAAGUGUGCCUGAAUAUUAUGACUACGGUCACGGAACAAGCGAAGAGGCUUAUGACAGCUACGCACAAGAAGAAUGGGCCACAACCCGUUCCAGCCUAAAGGCACCACCUCCAAGGUCAGCCAGAGGGGGUUACAGGGAACACCCCUAUGGUAGAUAUUGAAGGUCCUCCUCAUCUGUGACCUCAUCUCAAAGACAAUUAAUAGCCUGUGGUCUCCACAUAAACAGCAACAAGACAAGGACUCACAGGCACUGGACAGCUAAGCAGCAGAUCUGCUGAGAAGAGGUCAGAUUUUUGGAGCUCUUAGGGAAGUGUUUUACCUUUUGAAUGGUAUUCGGGGAGUUGAGAGUGUUCCAAUACAAUGUGCAAUAAAUCAGUGGGAUCUGAAGGACUGAGCCUCAGGUUGGGACUCUGCUCAGCCCUGUGUUCUGGACCUGCCAUUACGACCCUCUCUAGGACUUGUUGACACUCAAGCUUACGGUGAUCUUCCAGUCUAUCAGCAAAUGGAGGAGAAGUGGGAAGCUGUUUGCCCUUUAUCAUAUAGAAUGCUAUUCAUCAGAGCCAAAAUACCUUUACUUAUAGCCCAGUCUUCUGACCAUUGGACUACACUUCCUAAAAUGGCUUAAAAGGGAGACUUGGAAGUAGGUGAUCAUUUUCACUCUUUUGUGGACCAUGCUAGUAAUAAGUACAUUUAACUAUUAGUUAAUCAGAGAUCUUACUGGUGAGUUCUGCAGCUACAUCUGUAACUGCUCUGCAGCAUAUAAGUUCGGGUGACUAAGCAGUCAUUGUAACGCUGGUACAGCAUCAAUAAAUGUUGAGUUAGGAGAGAGUCUAGCCUUUAGGCUGUGUCCUGAACUCGCUUUUCUCUCAAAGUCAAAUAUUAUUUUUAGCUUUUAUUGACCUGGACAGCUGACUCCACUCAGCAUUAGUUUCUGGUCAAAUGCACUUCUCUCCCUCUAUGUCUAAACUGACCAACCAAAGAAGUUGUUUUCUUCAGGUAAGAAAUGGAUAUGUAUUAUUGAGGUCCAUCGUGCAAAUCAUUAGAAGUUAGGUGAGAAUGUGAAAGCACAUAUAAUUGAAAGGCUGUCAAAAGGCAAAAGUGUACCAAGCUUCCCAAACCAUUCAAGUUGCAAUUCCUGAAGUUGGAUGACAUUGAAACUCAAUGUUUAAUGCACGCAACUCUGGUGGCCAUGCUCCACAGCACUAGUUGUUGAAUUAUCAGUCACAAAGUCUACUACAGGAGAUUUCCAUUAAAUAAGUCAUCUGUUGUCAUUCACACUUUCUUUCUAGCUCAACUUACCU